rnacentral:lncRNA from 1 species
AUGGUAAGUCGAACGAAGAAGGGAAGUUGUGUUUGUCCAUUAGAUGUUGAUGCCGACUUUUGUAGCUUUUGAGCUUCAUACCACAUCCCUCAACAAGGCAUUCAUACUGUUACAUAAUAUGAAAAUUAAAGGGUAAAAUAGAAAGAACAAAAAUCAGCUAUCAACAAUCAGUCUUUACUUUUACAAGAAAAUAUGAUUAUUAUUUCAAUAAUAUAUGUAACAUAAGUUUAAAGUGCAUAAAACAAUAGUUUUGACACAUUUCUAUAUAGGGGAAAGUAGUAUUUUCUCUCUCCCCUAAAAAGGAUUCAACUUUCGAAAGAAAAUGUUAACAAAUUAAACUUUCAAAAAUUCGUCCCCAUGGUCUGGUCAAAGUUAUAGAUAUCGUUCCUUGUGCAAGCUAUUUACGAAUAUUGUUACUACUUUCACUGUUUGUUUUCACCCACGGUCCCUCGGACAGUUAGAAUGACCAACCAAACUAGCCUUCCCCGGCCUGUUUAGACCCAAAACACUGAUUGUGAAGUGCAACAGAAGAUGAAGAAUUACCAUAGCAUAACCUCGUGCGACUUUUGCUUGGAAGAAAGAAUCGUGUGCCUCUGAUACGUGUAUGCCAAGCAGGCGAGAUGUAGGGUAUACUCUAGAACAGACAGAACAAGAAGCUGUAUGCCUUGCAUUGUAAUGAUCUUCAAACUCUACCAACGAUCUCAAAUUGGCUCCACAACCAACAAUUGGACAGCUCACUUCACUGGUCAAACAAAAAAGUAGAUCAAACAAUGUCUUGGAUACUGGUAAUUCAGUUAUAGCCACCUCAGCAGAGAAAUGCCAUAUAAGCAAGAAACAGGUCAUCAGGUUAUCAGAUUACCAAAUUACCCAUUUCAAUAAAGUGUAAUUACCAGGUCAGGGCAUAUUGAGUUUAACUACCAAAAUGGAACAUCAGCCUUAGUACAUAACUAUUUAAUGACUAGCCCAUGUUGCUUACAAUUGUACAGCGUACUAAAGAGUAAAGAUCAAUUCAUCAAAAUAAGGCAUGUAGUAAGUCUAUAAAACGAUCCCAUAUGAUGCACAAAUGUGUAUUUCACCUAAGAUAGUAAGAAUAAUAAACGAUGAAUAAGUGAUGUUGGCAUACAUUAAAGACAAAUGAAAUCAAAUAAACAUUACAACCUAGAAAAGGUUGAUUAUGUGUUAAAACUCUAAUGUUUCUCUAUGGAUUUUAAUAUACUUGAAUGUUGAUAAACAUAACUUGUUUUCAAAUGAAAUCAGAGACACUAGGACCCAUAUUAGAAUAAUUUUCAAUUUAAAUACAUGAAUGUGGACAAACAUAUCUUCUUUUCUCUUCACUUCACGGCCUACAUCAAUACACCUAAGCCAAGACUGGGUAGUCAUUAUAAUUUGCAUCUUGUGACAAGUAACAUAAAUCAAAAUAAAGUAAAAUAAAAAGUCCGACAGUACCUGUCAGCAUCAUCCAAAUUUCUAAGCUGCUGUUUUUCCUCUUCAGUAAGAUCCAGUGCAACCUGGACAUCAACAAGAAAGAGUAUUAUCUUUAGUCAAACUCAUUUUAAAAUAAAGGAGGCCAACGAAAGAUGGCAAACUAAUUAGAAAUGUUGGGCUGCUGGCAGAUUAUUUCCACCAUUCUCUGAAUCUCCGAGUAAAGCUGAAAUGGGCAGUGAUGACUUUGCAUAACAAAACGGGGAUGAACAAAUAGAUAUAAGCCAUCCAGGCAUUGGAUUUGCAGACUGGACAUAAGCAGAUAUCUAGAAGCAGUGCUCACAAAAAGUGCUCAUCUUAUUAAAACUUAUUUAUAUUAACUAAUACAAUGACAUCGAUGGUAUAACAACAACAGUUACAUACCUUUCUACUUGAAAUAGAAGUUGGUUUUGAUCAUUAAAGGUGUAAAAAUUGUUUUGGUAGCAUAUAAUAAGAGAAAUUGCCAGGUCAUUAUAGUUUUAUACAGGAUCAAGUUCAUCACCAUUCACCAAUUUGUAAAUUUCAUCAGUAAUUAACAAUAAUUUAUCACCAACUUUAUCAAGUAGAUGCAUGGUCAAUUUAAAAACCGCAACGGUGCAGUUCCUUCUGAACUAUUUAAUAGAAAUUUACAUCCAGUAAAUCAAAAACAUCUCUACCAUACUUACUAGUCCAAAUAC